AGAAGGUGCAGGGAGGAUGUAGAAUGGUCUGUUGGAAUAAGAACUAUUUCCCUUCAGUGUAUAAAUUAAUUUAGUCCUAAAAUUCUUAGUGUUUUAUGUUUGAAAAAUAAGAUUUUUUGGGGUGGUCUGUUCCUGUUAUAUAAGACCACAUCAUAUAAGUAUUGUGAGCCUGUCUGAAUCUACGAUAAGCCUGGAAGAAAGGCCCUAAGGAUGGAAAAUUAAGAAAUAAAAAGAAAGAAGAAAGUUUGCAUCCCCAUUUCAAAAGAAUCUUGUAAUACCUGUUGCAUAAAUCGUUUCUCUCAUUAAAAAAGCAUAAUUCGAAAUUAAA